AACGAACGCUGGCGGCAGGCCUAACACAUGCAAGUCGAGCGAGGGAGCAAUCCCUAGCGGCGGACGGGUGAGUAACGCGUGGGAACGUGCCCCUUGGUACGGAAUAGCCCCGGGAAACUGGGAGUAAUACCGUAUGUGGUCGAGAGACGAAAGAUUUAUCGCCAAGGGAUCGGCCCGCGUUGGAUUAGGUAGUUGGUGGGGUAAUGGCCUACCAAGCCGACGAUCCAUAGCUGGUUUGAGAGGAUGAUCAGCCACACUGGGACUGAGACACGGCCCAGACUCCUACGGGAGGCAGCAGUGGGGAAUCUUAGACAAUGGGCGCAAGCCUGAUCUAGCCAUGCCGCGUGAGCGAUGAAGGCCUUAGGGUUGUAAAGCUCUUUCGUGGGGGAAGAUAAUGACUGUACCCCAAGAAGAAGCCCCGGCUAACUCCGUG
rnacentral:rRNA from 1 species